rnacentral:rRNA from 1 species
AAAACAGAGAGUUCGAUCCUGGCUCAGGAUGAACGCUGGCGGCGUGCUUAACACAUGCAAGUCGAACGAGAGAUACAGGAGGAAGUUUUCGGACGGAAUCCGGUAGAUCGAGUGGCGGACGGGUGAGUAACGCGUGGGGAACCUGCCUCAUACAGGGGGAUAACAGUU